rnacentral:rRNA from 1 species
UACGUAGGGGGCGAGCGUUGUCCGGAAUUACUGGGCGUAAAGGGAGCGUAGGCGGUCUUUUAAGUUGGAUGUGAAAUACCCGGGCUUAACUUGGGGGGUGCAUUCAAAACUGGGAGACUAGAGUGCAGGAGAGGGAAGCGGAAUUCCUAGUGUAGCGGUGAAAUGCGUAGAUAUUAGGAGGAACACCAGUGGCGAAGGCGGCUUUCUGGACUGUAACUGACGCUGAGGCGCGAAAGCGUGGGGAGCAAACAGG